UGUACUUUGGAUGCCUGCUUCUAACUGUCUCAUGGACAAUGGAUGGUGCUCUGGUCCCCUGCCUUCUAACGUUGGUGGGAGGCUGGACCCACGGAUGAAAACCUUGACCUCAAAUCGGGUGAGACUACCCGCUGAACUUAAGCAUAUCAAU
rnacentral:rRNA from 1 species